rnacentral:rRNA from 1 species
UGCAGUCGAGCGAGGCCCACUCUUCGGGGUGGUGCCCUAGCGGCGAACGGGUGAGUAACACGUGGGCAACCUGCCCUCAGCUCUGGGAUAACUCCAAGAAAUUGGUGCUAAUACCGGAUGUGACCGCUGACCGCAUGGUCUGGUGGUGGAAAGAUUCAUCGGCUGAGGAUGGGCCCGCGGCCUAUCAGCUUGUUGGUGGGGUAGUGGCCCACCAAGGCGACGACGGGUAGCCGGCCUGAGAGGGUGACCGGCCACACUGGGACUGAGACACGGCCCAGACUCCUACGGGAGGCAGCAGUGGGGAAUAUUGCGCAAUGGGCGGAAGCCUGACGCAGCGACGCCGCGUGAGGGAUGACGGCCUUCGGGUUGUAAACCUCUUUCAGUAGGGACGAAGCGAAAGUGACGGUACCUACAGAAGAAGCACCGGCCAACUACGUGCCAGCAGCCGCGGUAAUACGUAGGGUGCAAGCGUUGUCCGGAAUUAUUGGGCGUAAAGAGCUCGUAGGCGGUCUGUCGCGUCGGCUGUGAAAACCCGAGGCUCAACCUCGGGCCUGCAGUCGAUACGGG